GACGAACGCUGGCGGCGUGCUUAACACAUGCAAGUCGAGUGGUAAGGCCCUUUCGGGGGUACGACGAGCGGCGAACGGGUGAGUAACACGUGGGUGACCUGCCCUCAGCUCUGGGAUAAGCCUGGGAAACCGGGUCUAAUACUGGAUAUGACUCCAUGACGCAUGUUGGUGGGGUGGAAAGCCUUGUGCGGCUGAGGAUGGGCCCGCGGCCUAUCAGCUUGUUGGUGGGGUGANGGCCUACCAAGGCGACGACGGGUAGCCGGCCUGAGAGGGCGACCGGCCACACUGGGACUGAGACACGGCCCAGACUCCUACGGGAGGCAGCAGUGGGGAAUCUUGCGCAAUGGGCGAAAGCCUGACGCAGCGACGCCGCGUGAGGGAUGACGGCCU
rnacentral:rRNA from 1 species